AGAACGAACGCUGGCGGCAUGCCUAACACAUGCAAGUCGAACGAGACCUUCGGGUCUAGUGGCGCACGGGUGCGUAACGCGUGGGAAUCUGCCCUUGGGUACGGAAUAACAGCGAGAAAUUGCUGCUAAUACCGUAUAAUGACUUCGGUCCAAAGAUUUAUCGCCCAGGGAUGAGCCCGCGUAGGAUUAGCUUGUUGGUGAGGUAAAAGCUCACCAAGGCGACGAUCCUUAGCUGGUCUGAGAGGAUGAUCACGCCACACGUGGGACUGACGACACCGGCCAG
rnacentral:rRNA from 1 species